GUCAAGAAAAUAUGAAACACAAGAAAAUUCAUAGUGAUUGACAAUGGUAAGCAGAGGCUCAUGUUGAAGAGUAAGAGGAAAUAAGCCUUUAAGACACUGUAUCUGAGUUCUUAGUUUUAAGCACUGUAGAUAAGUAUGUGCUGGAUCAAGCAAAAUGGCUCACUUCCUUGAAAUAUGGGGAAAUAAAUCUGUGUAAGGAUGGCUGGUCCAGCUGGUUUCCUGCCAAUUCUUGGAUGGGUCAUCCUAGUCCAGAGUAUCAUGGAAAAUUGUUCACACAGCUUGACUGAUUGCUUUAAGGGUUUACACUUGUCUCAACUCAGAAAUCCAAGCUCUCCCAGGACUGUUCUAACGGCAGUUCUAAAAGCCUCUUUGGUGUGUUGGAGGCCAGGUAGAGGUGAAGCUUCGCAGUGCUUGGACGUAUACUCAACCAUACGGAGAAUAUCAGCCUGUAGCAGGUAAAUAAGAGCCCAGCACAGAAGAAAAGGCAGAGCUACAAGAAGACAGUGCCACAUUAUUUUCAUUGGAAUCUAUGUACGCAUCUAUGCCUGAGCCAGAAGAGGUGAAGCAAAGUUGCUGACUUCAGCCUCAAGCCGAUAAGGAGGAAAAGAGCUUGGCAGUUUAAAGAUGCUCAAUGACUGUAGGAAGAAGAUACUGGAUUUUCAAAAUAACAUUUGAUGAAAGCAAUUGCCAUGCAGUGAUGAGAACAGGUUUGGGAGGCUCAAGACCUGGUGUGACAUCCUGACUCCAAUUGGUUCAUAUGAGGAGACAAGGAGAAGAUGUCCAUCUGGAAACCUUCAGGAAGUGGAUCUUCACCAGACACCAGAUCUGCUGGUACUUUGUUCUGGACUUCUCAGUCUCCAGAACUGUGAGAAAUAAGUGUCUGUUGUUUAAGCCAUUCAAUCAAUAGCAUUUUGUCAUAUCAUCCUAAACUGUCUCGUGGUGUUUGUAUUGUUUCAACCUAAAGCCCUGAAUGAUGUGAAUGGUUAACCAUUUAUAAACUACUGAAGUUGACUCAGCACAUUAUCUUGUACAUGGUGGACCA
rnacentral:lncRNA from 1 species